UGUAUUUCAUAGGAAUUGCUUUUGUCAUGGAAGAAAUUUGCAGACAAAAUGCACAUCUUUUGCUUACAUUCUCAGGUUGUGUUUGGCUUUGAACUGACAGAUUUCUGACCAUAUGGCUUCACUAUCCCAGCUGUGAGUGUCCUGUCUUCUCACCAUCCUCCCCCAAGUGGGCACCACCACCAAAUCCAGGAAACGUGGAGGAUCUGUGUUCUGCAUUCAUUGUUUUCAAGUGAGCCCCAUUAAUACCGUCAGAGAUUCUGUGCUCCUGUGAGGACAGAGGGAAAGCAAAGAGCGUGUGUCCACAGGAUGCGUUCACCACAGCGGCCCGCAAGCUAACUCUCAG
rnacentral:lncRNA from 1 species